UUGACACUCUUCGGAGGAGAUGGAGAAUCGAUGAUACUGUCGUGCCAAGAAAAGCCACUAAGUUUAUUAUAUGUUGCCCGUACCGUAAACCGACACAGGUGGGUGGGAUGAGUAUUCUAAGGCGCGUGGAAGAACCCUGGUUAAGGAACUCUGCAAACUAGCACCGUAUCUUCGGUAUAAGGUGUGCCUACUUUUGUAUAUGAACUUGCUUCAAAAAGCGAAAGAGGUUGCAACAAAGAGUCCCUCCCGACUGUUUACCAAAAACACAGCACUUUGCUAACACGUAAGUGGAUGUAUAAGGUGUGACGCCUGCCCGGUGCUCGAAGGUUAACUGAUGAUGUCAGCGCAAGCGAAGCAUUUGAUUGAAGCCCGAGUAAACGGCGGCCGUAACUAUAACGGUCCUAAGGUAGCGAAAUUCCUUGUCGGUUAAAUACCGACCUGCAUGAAUGGCGUAACGAGAUGGGAGCUGUCUCAACCAGGGAUCCAGUGAAAUUGUAGUGGAGGUGAAAAUUCCUCCUACCCGCGGAAAGACGGAAAGACCCCGUGCACCUUUACUACAGCUUGACACUGUAGCUUGGAUAUUCAUGUGCAGGAUAGGUGGGAGGCUAUGAUGACUAGACGCCAGUAGAGUCGGAGC
rnacentral:rRNA from 1 species